rnacentral:tRNA from 1 species
GGUCUUAUAGUCAAUUAUGACGUUAAAUUGCAAAUUUAAAGGUGGGGUUAACCUAAGGCCU